UACGUAGGGUGCGAGCGUUGUCCGGAAUUAUUGGGCGUAAAGGGUAGGUAGGUGGUCUCAUUUGUCAGGGGUGAAAGCCUUGGGCUUAACUCAAGAAGUGCCCCUGAAACGGUGAGACUAGAGUUCUGGAGAGGGUCGUGGAAUUCCCGGUGUAGCGGUGAAAUGCGUAGAGAUCGGGAGGAACACCAGAGGCGAAGGCAGUGUCCUGGGGAGUACCUGACGCUCAGGUGCGAAAGCCAGGGGAGCGAACGGG
rnacentral:rRNA from 1 species